UUUGCUCUUUUAAAAGGUGUCCAGUGUGAGGUGCAGCUGGUGGAGUCUGGAAGAGACCUGGUGAAGCCUGGGGGGAUCCCUGAGACUCUCUGUGCAGCCUCCGGAUUCACCUUCAGUAGCUACUUUAUGAACUGGGUCCGCCAGACUCCAAGGAAGGGGCUGCAGAGGGUCGCAGAUAUUAGCAAUGAUGGAAGUAGCACAAGCUACACAGACUUUGUGAAGGGCCGAUUCACCAUCCCCAGAAACAAUGGCAAGAACAUGCUGUAUCUGCAGAUGACCAGCCUGAGAGCUGAGGACACAGCUGUGUAUUACUGGGUGAGAGACACAGGGAGGGGCCUCAGUGUGAGCCCAGAGACAAACCUCACUGUAGGACAGGAUCUGGACCACCAGGGGGUGCACAACACUCACUAAUUCUAUCUUUAGAAUUUAGCCAGGAGCAGCUGCAGAUGGUGGUUUUGAGCAGGUUUCCUGUCAGGGUCUGGGGCCUCCUCUCCAUAGAGCAGUUUCCCCGCAGGAAGCCUCUCUGGACACAUGAUUCUGUGCUUACUUCUUCACUCUCUGACUUAGAAAAUUUGUUCUAAUGGGAAAACAACUACACAAAAUAAUA